GCAGCCUGGGCAGUGGGUCCUGCCUGUGACGCGCGGCGGCGGUCGGUCCUGCCUGUAACGGCGGCGGCGGCUGCUGCUCCGGACACCUGCGGCGGCGGCGGCGACCCCGCGGCGGGCGCGGAGAUGUGGCCCCUGGUAGCGGCGCUGUUGCUGGGCUCGGCGUGCUGCGGAUCAGCUCAGCUACUAUUUAAUAAAACAAAAUCUGUAGAAUUCACGUUUUGUAAUGACACUGUCGUCAUUCCAUGCUUUGUUACUAAUAUGGAGGCACAAAACACUACUGAAGUAUACGUAAAGUGGAAAUUUAAAGGAAGAGAUAUUUACACCUUUGAUGGAGCUCUAAACAAGUCCACUGUCCCCACUGACUUUAGUAGUGCAAAAAUUGAAGUCUCACAAUUACUAAAAGGAGAUGCCUCUUUGAAGAUGGAUAAGAGUGAUGCUGUCUCACACACAGGAAACUACACUUGUGAAGUAACAGAAUUAACCAGAGAAGGUGAAACGAUCAUCGAGCUAAAAUAUCGUGUUGUUUCAUGGUUUUCUCCAAAUGAAAAUAUUCUUAUUGUUAUUUUCCCAAUUUUUGCUAUACUCCUGUUCUGGGGACAGUUUGGUAUUAAAACACUUAAAUAUAGAUCCGGUGGUAUGGAUGAGAAAACAAUUGCUUUACUUGUUGCUGGACUAGUGAUCACUGUCAUUGUCAUUGUUGGAGCCAUUCUUUUCGUCCCAGGUGAAUAUUCAUUAAAGAAUGCUACUGGCCUUGGUUUAAUUGUGACUUCUACAGGGAUAUUAAUAUUACUUCACUACUAUGUGUUUAGUACAGCGAUUGGAUUAACCUCCUUCGUCAUUGCCAUAUUGGUUAUUCAGGUGAUAGCCUAUAUCCUCGCUGUGGUUGGACUGAGUCUCUGUAUUGCGGCGUGUAUACCAAUGCAUGGCCCUCUUCUGAUUUCAGGUUUGAGUAUCUUAGCUCUAGCACAAUUACUUGGACUAGUUUAUAUGAAAUUUGUGGGGUUCAGAGGGACACCUACAGUCAGUUGAAAGGCAAGAAGAGACAAGCUUCCAAUCAGAAGACUAUACAACCUCCUAGGAAAGCUGUAGAGGAACCCCUUAAUGAAUAACUGAAGUGAAGUGAUGGACUCCGAUUUGGAGAGUAGUAAGACGUGAAAGGAAUACACUUGUGUUUAAGCACCAUGGCCUUGAUGAUUCACUGUUGGGGAGAAGAAACAAGAAAAGUAACUGGUUGUCACCUAUGAGACCCUUACGUGAUUGUUAGUUAAGUUUUUAUUCAAAGCAGCUGUAAUUUAGUUAAUAAAAUAAUUAUGAUCUAUGUUGUUUGCCCAAUUGAGAUCCAGUUUUUUGUUGUUAUUUUUAAUCAAUUAGGGGCAAUAGUAGAAUGGACAAUUUCCAAGAAUGAUGCCUUUCAGGUCCUAGGGCCUCUGGCCUCUAGGUAACCAGUUUAAAUUGGUUCAGGGUGAUAACUACUUAGCACUGCCCUGGUGAUUACCCAGAGAUAUCUAUGAAAACCAGUGGCUUCCAUCAAACCUUUGCCAACUCAGGUUCACAGCAGCUUUGGGCAGUUAUGGCAGUAUGGCAUUAGCUGAGAGGUGUCUGCCACUUCUGGGUCAAUGGAAUAAUAAAUUAAGUACAGGCAGGAAUUUGGUUGGGAGCAUCUUGUAUGAUCUCCGUAUGAUGUGAUAUUGAUGGAGAUAGUGGUCCUCAUUCUUGGGGGUUGCCAUUCCCACAUUCCCCCUUCAACAAACAGUGUAACAGGUCCUUCCCAGAUUUAGGGUACUUUUAUUGAUGGAUAUGUUUUCCUUUUAUUCACAUAACCCCUUGAAACCCUGUCUUGUCCUCCUGUUACUUGCUUCUGCUGUACAAGAUGUAGCACCUUUUCUCCUCUUUGAACAUGGUCUAGUGACACGGUAGCACCAGUUGCAGGAAGGAGCCAGACUUGUUCUCAGAGCACUGUGUUCACACUUUUCAGCAAAAAUAGCUAUGGUUGUAACAUAUGUAUUCCCUUCCUCUGAUUUGAAGGCAAAAAUCUACAGUGUUUCUUCACUUCUUUUCUGAUCUGGGGCAUGAAAAAAGCAAGAUUGAAAUUUGAACUAUGAGUCUCCUGCAUGGCAACAAAAUGUGUGUCACCAUCAGGCCAACAGGCCAGCCCUUGAAUGGGGAUUUAUUACUGUUGUAUCUAUGUUGCAUGAUAAACAUUCAUCACCUUCCUCCUGUAGUCCUGCCUCGUACUCCCCUUCCCCUAUGAUUGAAAAGUAAACAAAACCCACAUUUCCUAUCCUGGUUAGAAGAAAAUUAAUGUUCUGACAGUUGUGAUCGCCUGGAGUACUUUUAGACUUUUAGCAUUCGUUUUUUACCUGUUUGUGGAUGUGUGUUUGUAUGUGCAUACGUAUGAGAUAGGCACAUGCAUCUUCUGUAUGGACAAAGGUGGGGUACCUACAGGAGAGCAAAGGUUAAUUUUGUGCUUUUAGUAAAAACAUUUAAAUACAAAGUUCUUUAUUGGGUGGAAUUAUAUUUGAUGCAAAUAUUUGAUCACUUAAAACUUUUAAAACUUCUAGGUAAUUUGCCACGCUUUUUGACUGCUCACCAAUACCCUGUAAAAAUACGUAAUUCUUCCUGUUUGUGUAAUAAGAUAUUCAUAUUUGUAGUUGCAUUAAUAAUAGUUAUUUCUUAGUCCAUCAGAUGUUCCCGUGUGCCUCUUUUAUGCCAAAUUGAUUGUCAUAUUUCAUGUUGGGACCAAGUAGUUUGCCCAUGGCAAACCUAAAUUUAUGACCUGCUGAGGCCUCUCAGAAAACUGAGCAUACUAGCAAGACAGCUCUUCUUGAAAAAAAAAAUAUGUAUACACAAAUAUAUACGUAUAUCUAUAUAUACGUAUGUAUAUACACACAUGUAUAUUCUUCCUUGAUUGUGUAGCUGUCCAAAAUAAUAACAUAUAUAGAGGGAGCUGUAUUCCUUUAUACAAAUCUGAUGGCUCCUGCAGCACUUUUUCCUUCUGAAAAUAUUUACAUUUUGCUAACCUAGUUUGUUACUUUAAAAAUCAGUUUUGAUGAAAGGAGGGAAAAGCAGAUGGACUUGAAAAAGAUCCAAGCUCCUAUUAGAAAAGGUAUGAAAAUCUUUAUAGUAAAAUUUUUUAUAAACUAAAGUUGUACCUUUUAAUAUGUAGUAAACUCUCAUUUAUUUGGGGUUCGCUCUUGGAUCUCAUCCAUCCAUUGUGUUCUCUUUAAUGCUGCCUGCCUUUUGAGGCAUUCACUGCCCUAGACAAUGCCACCAGAGAUAGUGGGGGAAAUGCCAGAUGAAACCAACUCUUGCUCUCACUAGUUGUCAGCUUCUCUGGAUAAGUGACCACAGAAGCAGGAGUCCUCCUGCUUGGGCAUCAUUGGGCCAGUUCCUUCUCUUUAAAUCAGAUUUGUAAUGGCUCCCAAAUUCCAUCACAUCACAUUUAAAUUGCAGACAGUGUUUUGCACAUCAUGUAUCUGUUUUGUCCCAUAAUAUGCUUUUUACUCCCUGAUCCCAGUUUCUGCUGUUGACUCUUCCAUUCAGUUUUAUUUAUUGUGUGUUCUCACAGUGACACCAUUUGUCCUUUUCUGCAACAACCUUUCCAGCUACUUUUGCCAAAUUCUAUUUGUCUUCUCCUUCAAAACAUUCUCCUUUGCAGUUCCUCUUCAUCUGUGUAGCUGCUCUUUUGUCUCUUAACUUACCAUUCCUAUAGUACUUUAUGCAUCUCUGCUUAGUUCUAUUAGUUUUUUGGCCUUGCUCUUCUCCUUGAUUUUAAAAUUCCUUCUAUAGCUAGAGCUUUUCUUUCUUUCAUUCUCUCUUCCUGCAGUGUUUUGCAUACAUCAGAAGCUAGGUACAUAAGUUAAAUGAUUGAGAGUUGGCUGUAUUUAGAUUUAUCACUUUUUAAUAGGGUGAGCUUGAGAGUUUUCUUUCUUUCUGUUUUUUUUUUUUGUUUUUUUUUUUUUUUUUUUUUUUUUUUUUUUUGACUAAUUUCACAUGCUCUAAAAACCUUCAAAGGUGAUUAUUUUUCUCCUGGAAACUCCAGGUCCAUUCUGUUUAAAUCCCUAAGAAUGUCAGAAUUAAAAUAACAGGGCUAUCCCGUAAUUGGAAAUAUUUCUUUUUUCAGGAUGCUAUAGUCAAUUUAGUAAGUGACCACCAAAUUGUUAUUUGCACUAACAAAGCUCAAAACACGAUAAGUUUACUCCUCCAUCUCAGUAAUAAAAAUUAAGCUGUAAUCAACCUUCUAGGUUUCUCUUGUCUUAAAAUGGGUAUUCAAAAAUGGGGAUCUGUGGUGUAUGUAUGGAAACACAUACUCCUUAAUUUACCUGUUGUUGGAAACUGGAGAAAUGAUUGUCGGGCAACCGUUUAUUUUUUAUUGUAUUUUAUUUGGUUGAGGGAUUUUUUUAUAAACAGUUUUACUUGUGUCAUAUUUUAAAAUUACUAACUGCCAUCACCUGCUGGGGUCCUUUGUUAGGUCAUUUUCAGUGACUAAUAGGGAUAAUCCAGGUAACUUUGAAGAGAUGAGCAGUGAGUGACCAGGCAGUUUUUCUGCCUUUAGCUUUGACAGUUCUUAAUUAAGAUCAUUGAAGACCAGCUUUCUCAUAAAUUUCUCUUUUUGAAAAAAAGAAAGCAUUUGUACUAAGCUCCUCUGUAAGACAACAUCUUAAAUCUUAAAAGUGUUGUUAUCAUGACUGGUGAGAGAAGAAAACAUUUUGUUUUUAUUAAAUGGAGCAUUAUUUACAAAAAGCCAUUGUUGAGAAUUAGAUCCCACAUCGUAUAAAUAUCUAUUAACCAUUCUAAAUAAAGAGAACUCCAGUGUUGCUAUGUGCAAGAUCCUCUCUUGGAGCUUUUUUGCAUAGCAAUUAAAGGUGUGCUAUUUGUCAGUAGCCAUUUUUUUGCAGUGAUUUGAAGACCAAAGUUGUUUUACAGCUGUGUUACCGUUAAAGGUUUUUUUUUUUAUAUGUAUUAAAUCAAUUUAUCACUGUUUAAAGCUUUGAAUAUCUGCAAUCUUUGCCAAGGUACUUUUUUAUUUAAAAAAAAACAUAACUUUGUAAAUAUUACCCUGUAAUAUUAUAUAUACUUAAUAAAACAUUUUAAGCUAUUUUGUUGGGCUAUUUCUAUUGCUGCUACAGCAGACCACAAGCACAUUUCUGAAAAAUUUAAUUUAUUAAUGUAUUUUUAAGUUGCUUAUAUUCUAGGUAACAAUGUAAAGAAUGAUUUAAAAUAUUAAUUAUGAAUUUUUUGAGUAUAAUACCCAAUAAGCUUUUAAUUAGAGCAGAGUUUUAAUUAAAAGUUUUAAAUCAGUCCAA